GCCUACGGGGGGCAGCAGUAGGGAAUUUUCGUCAAUGGGCGCAAGCCUGAACGAGCAAUGCCGCGUGAACGAGGAAGGUCUUCGGAUCGUAAAGUUCUGUUGAAGGGGAAAAAGAGCGGAGAGAGGAAAUGGUCUCCGAUUGAUAUUACCCUUCGAGGAAGUCACGGCUAACUACGUGCCAGCAGCCGCGGUAAUACGUAGGUGGCGAGCGUUAUCCGGAAUGAUUGGGCGUAAAGGGUGCGUAGGCGGCCUGCUAAGUCUGGAGUGAAAGGUACCGGCUCAACGGGUACAGGCUCUGGAAACUG
rnacentral:rRNA from 1 species